rnacentral:rRNA from 1 species
GACAAACGCUGGCGGCAUGCCUAACACAUGCAAGUCGAACGGACAGAACAGGGACGCUUUUCGGUGUGGAACUGGAAAGUUAGUGGCGUAUGGGUGAGUAACGCGUGGACAACCUCCCUUGUAAAGGGGAAUAACCUCGAGAAAUCGAAGCUAAUACCCCAUAAUAACCUUGCUUCGCAUGAAGUAAGGAGGAACGGCGGCCUUAGCGCUGUCGCUACACGAUGGGUCCGCGUCUGAUUAGCUAGUUGGUGAGGUAAAGGCUCACCAAGGCGACGAUCAGUAGCGGACCUGGGAGGGUGAACGGCAACAUUGGGACUGAGAAACGGCCAAAAACCCAAGGGAAGGAAGAAGUGGGGAAUUUUCGGAAAUGGGGGAAAGCCGGACGGAGAAAGGCCGGGGGAGUGAAGAAGGCCUUGGGGUGGUAAAACUCUGUACUAAGCGAAGAGAGAGGGGUGUAGUAUUGAGAAUACUAGGACGGUAGAUGAGGAGGAAGCCCCGGCUAACUAUGUG